rnacentral:rRNA from 1 species
AUUGAACGCUGGCGGCAGGCCUAACACAUGCAAGUCGAGCGGAUGAAGGGAGCUUGCUCCUGGAUUCGGCGGCGGACGGGUGAGUAAUGCCUAGGAAUCUGCCUGGUAGUGGGGGAUAACGUCCGGAAGCGGGCGCUAAUACCGCAUACGUCCUGAGGGAGAAAGUGGGGGAUCUUCGGACCUCACGCUAUCAGAUGAGCCUAGGUCGGAUUAGCUAGUUGGUGGGGUAAAGGCCUACCAAGGCGACGAUCCGUAACUGGUCUGAGAGGAUGAUCAGUCACACUGGAACUGAGACACGGUCCAGACUCCUACGGGAGGCAGCAGUGGGGAAUAUUGGACAAUGGGCGAAAGCCUGAUCCAGCCAUGCCGCGUGUGUGAAGAAGGUCUUCGGAUUGUAAAGCACUUUAAGUUGGGAGGAAGGGCAGUAAGUUAAUACCUUGCUGUUUUGACGUUACCAACAGAAUAAGCACCGGCUAACUUCGUG